GACGAACGCUGGCGGCGUGCUUAACACAUGCAAGUCGAGCGGUAAGGCCCUUUCGGGGGUACGACGAGCGGCGAACGGGUGAGUAACACGUGGGUGACCUGCCUUUAGCUCUGGGAUAAGCCUGGGAAACCGGGUCUAAUACCGGAUAUGACUCCGCGGCGCAUGUUGUGGGUGGAAAGCCUUGUGCGGCUGGAGAUGGGCCCGCGGCCUAUCAGCUUGUUGGUGGGGUGAUGGCCUACCAAGGCGACGACGGUAGCCGGCCUGAGAGGGCGACCGGCCACACUGGGACUGAGACACGGCCCAGACUCCUACGGGAGGCAGCAGUGGGGAAUCUUGCGCAAUGGGCGAAAGCCUGACGCAGCGACGCCGCGUGAGGGAUGACGGCC
rnacentral:rRNA from 1 species